CGCCCCCUCCCUUCGUUCUCUUACAUAACCGAUUCUCAGCACUGCCCAGUUCUCUAACACUAAAACAACACUUCCGAGCCAACUAAAACAUUUCUAAUCAUAGCUAUUUCCUCUUUCUUCAGUCUUUACUAAAACGAUCUGACUUCAUCACACCCAACCUAAUUCAUCAUCAUCAUCAUCAGUAAUAUCAACCAUCAUUAACUGUUCACAACGUUAUCCUCUCUCUCUCUCUCUCUCUCUCUCUCUCUCUCUCUCUCUCUCUCUCUCUCUCUCUCUCUCUCUCUCUCUCUCUCUCUCUGAUAUUAGUGUACUCCAUCCUGCUCCGGCAAAGGUUCCAAUUUAAUCUUUCCAUCUGGUUCUCUGUCUGAUGUUAAAGUAUCCUGUUUCGGCGUAGGUUCGAAUUCCAUCCCUCCAUCUGGUUCUCUGUCUGAUGUUAGUGUACCAGAUCCUGCUUUGGGGAGUGCUCUAAAUCCAUCUGCUCACCUGGUUAUCCUUCUGAUGUUAGUGUAUUACCAUGAUCUAAGCAAAGGUUCUAAUUCCAUCUUUCCACCUGGUUCUCUGAUGCUAGUGUGCCAUAUCCUGCUUCGACAAAGGUUCUAAUUGUUGGUUUACCUGGUUCUCUGUCUAAUGUUACUGUGCCAUAUUCUACUUCAGCAAAGGUUCUAAUUAUAUCUUUUCACCUGGUUGUCGCAAAGGUUCUAAUUCCAUCUCUGUUUCUGGUUUAUCAUGUUAGUGUAUUUUUAUAACCCAACAAAGGUUCUAAUUCCAUCUCUGUAUCUGUCUGGUUUAUAAUAUGUUAGUGUGUUUUCAUAACCCAACAAAGGUUCUAAUUCCAUCUUUGCACCUGGUUCUCCAUCUGGUUCGCCUUUUACAAUCACUGGGUCACCGCCACACCUCAAGAGCGCCCCUCUCACACACACACACACACACACACACACACACACACACACACACACACACAUUCCUACCCUUAGCCACGGCCUUGCUCUCUUCAUCACGACCCUCGCCCCCCCCACACCCAGACAACGACCUUCAUUAACACCACCAGCGCCUCCCUCACUACCUUCCUGCCCUGCCCUUCCUUCCCCUCAUCCCCUUCCUGCCCCCGCCCCGCCCGUCUCCCUCACCAGCUGCCCUACACAGUCCCCCCUUCAGCGUCUUCCCAGCACACGUUACACACCACAGCCACAGCACGUCACGCCCUAGGGACCUCACCACCACUAUCACCACCACCAGAUGCCUGCCACACCACCACCACUGCCACCACCACCACCACCACCACUCACUCCACUCCUGAAGAACAACCUCCUCCUAUUACUCCUCUUCCUCAACCUCUUCAUAAUCGAGAGAGAGAGAGAGAGAGAGAGAGAGAGAGAGAGAGAAGGGGGGGGGGGUGAGGGGGGCUUGUUACAACUAUAUUAAACGAAAGGUUUGUCAUGUAAUUGGAGAAAUGAUGAAAAAUGACCCAAAACGCUCCAUAAAAAGUGACAUUUACCGACAAUACGAAACAUUAUGGGACGAAGCACUCGACUGAACGAUCCAUUUAGCUUCACGGAUAAAACAUGAAAAAAGCAAUAAAUUUAUACUUGCAUGUGCAAUAAAAAUAGAAAUCACACACGAAAUAUUAAAAAAACAUAUUUAUUUAUUCCUGCGAUGUGAAACGGAAACAAAACUCACAACGAAACAUUAAAAACAUCGAUUCAUUUAUAUAUACGAUGUGAAAUUGAAAAAAUAUAAAAUCACCUACCCCGAAGCAUUCACGAAAUAUUCAACUUAAUAAAACACUCGAGAAACCGUUGAAAGCCAGGACGGGACGAUUAUUCUACAGCGGCGGCGUGAACAUCAAAACAUUACACAUACCCUUGAAACUAAAGGAAGGAAAAAAACACAAGAAACUAUUGAGCAAUGAUUUAGCCCCUGCCCCCCAAAAAAGACACCAGCGAGCGAAACUUUAAGGGCCAGAGCGAAACAUUAAGCAAACAAUCACAUAUUUACACCUGCGAAUGAAACUGAAUGAAGAGAAAAGAGAAAAAAGAAACUAAUGAGCAAUGAUUUACCCCCCCCCAAAAAAAAGACACUAGCGAGCGAAACAUUGAAGCAAAGAACCACAUAUUUACACCAACGAAUGAAAAUGGAUGAAGAAAAAGACAAAAGAAAACAAAGAAACUGAAGACCAAUGAUUCAGCCCCCGUGCGACACCCUGAAGCACCCCACCCCGCAGCCCCUGAAGCACCCCACCCCGCGGCCCCUGAAGCACCCCCGCAGCCUCCGGUGACGCCCAUCAGCACGCGGCUCUCAUUAUCGAGGCGGCCGACGAGGCACCAACGCGACGAAUUAAUUGGCGCUCCAGCUGCUGACUGACAGUGACGCGGACUGGCGGGCGGGCGGACAGGCUGACUGACUAAUUGACGGACUAACUAGCUGAAAGACGAGUGACUGACGGAUCGACUGUGACCGACUGAAAGACUAGUAGCAAAAUGUGUGACUGACUAAGGGCCAGUUUCACAGUUCCCCAUGAUGGGUUAGUAAGCUCCCAAACAAAUACCAGUGCCUUCGAAAUUUCCUUGUACAGUGUCUGGUGUUUAUAUUUAAGUUCACAAAUUUGACGAAACUACACAGGAAAAGUCUUGUGUAUUUAGUGUGGCAUCGAAGACCUCACCAUUUUGGAUUGUAUGGGAUUCUAUAGUUUGGUUCGGGCUGUUACGAAGACACUGUGUUGGACUGUGAAAUCGGCUCUUAAUGACUGGCUGAUUGCUUAACUGACUGACUGACUCAUUAACUGAAAGACACGUGACAAACUGACUGACUGACUAAUUAACUGAAAGACACGUGACAAACUGACUGACUGACUAAUUAACUGAAAGACACGUGACAAACUGACUGACUGACUAAUUAACUGAAAGACACGUGACAAACUGACUGACGGACUUCUGACUGAUUGACUGACUAACUGAUUGAAAGACUAAUGGACUGACUGACUGACCGACUGAAAGACUAUAGAAGCAAACUGUCUGACUGACUAAAUGACUGGCUGCUUGCUAAACUGACUGAGUGACUGGCUAAUUAACUGAACGAUUCGCGACAAACUGACUGACGGACUGACUAUAUGAUCGAUUGACUAGUGGCUCAGACUUACUGAAUUACUAACUUAAUGACUGCUUGAAAGAUAUUCGACUGAUUGACUGGCGGGGUACCUGACUGUUUACCUAUCUAAGUUACUGACCUGUUAACUGAGUCGAAAUAUUUGACUGAGUGACGAAGUGACAGGUUGAUUCGGUAAUUGGCUGACUUACUGACUGACUGAGUGGACAAACUGAUUCACUGACUUUUUUUUUACAGUAAAGGAAACAAGUCAAAGACAUUAAAUAAAGAAAAACAAAAACAACAAUCCCCGCUAGGCGCUGACUGACUGGCGACUUAAAAUAUUUUCUUUUAUAUACAUUUUAUCUCGUUCUCGUUUUAUACCUACAUCUAUUAUUAUUUUUUUCAUUUUAUUAUAUUCUUCCUUUUUUAAUUCAUUUUUACUUAUAUCUUUUUUUAUCAUUUUUACCUGUAGUCACACCUGGCUGCGAAAAAAAACCAUAUACAUUUUUUCUCGUUCUCGUUUUAUACCUACAUCUAUUAUUUUUUUUUUUCAUUUUAUUCAUUUCUUCCUUUUUUAUUUCACUUUUACUUAUAUAUUUUUUUUUCAUUUUUACCUGUCGUCACACCUGGUUGCGUAAAAAAAUAAAUAAAUAAAUAAAACAUUACUGGCUCAACACAACGCAGUACAACACACGCAAAAGCCAGACGAUGCAACACCCCUGCCGCCGCCGCCGCCACAUGUGACACGGAGCAACGACCUGAAAGUACAUUUAUUGCAAAACAAAACGAACGAAAUGACAAGAAAAACGAAGCUAUCAUUCUUUCCGCAUCUGGAGCGUGGCUGUAUAUGAGGCAACACACACACACACACACACACACACACACCUCUGUCUCUACGAAGCCCUGUUUGUGCAGAGGCUUACGAAACACACACACACACACACACACACACACACACACACACACACACACACACACACACACAGAGACAGCUAUUCAAAGACCAAAACAAAGACAGCCGUUCUUAUUUGCUGUUUCUCACCUGACAGCGGCUAUUCCUUUCACCUGGGCAUUUUUAGCCAGGUAAUGAGCCUCUACCUGUCGCCGCCACAAAAACACAGGUGAGUCGCCGGCCAGGUGGAACGACAACAGUGAACGAGAAUGAUAAUGAUGAAGAAAACUGUCAGCUCUUGCGAACCGUGGCUAAGAGACGGUAAACAGAGGGAAAGAAUGAGGGAAAAAAAAGAGCAAUUUCUAACCCACCAUGACUGUCCCAAUUAUUCUAGCUGACAGGCACUCGCUCGCUGGCUCCCUCCCUUCCCUCUCUCUCUUCACGCCAGCAAUGGGUACACACACACACACACACACACACACACACACACAGUACAGAACACUCACCAUUAACCUCUUCUUCCUGCUCCUCCCUUUCCACCUCCUUCGUCCAUUUCUCUCUCUCUCUCUCUCUCUCUCUCUCUCUCUCUCUCUCUCUCUCUCUCUCUCUUUGUCAGACGGGAAACGUGUGUCAGGUCGUUGGGUACGGCAGGGUCACACACACACACACACACACACACACACACACACACACACACACACACACACACACACACACACACACACACACACACACACCUGAUACUCCCCUCCCCUCCCCUUCCCUUCUUAUCCCUUCUUCCUUUCCUCCUGCUCUACUUUUUCUUCUCCUUUUCUCUUUUAUUCUCCUCUUCUCGCUUCCUCCUUUUCCUUCCUUUACUUUCACCCCGUUCCUUUCAUUCCCCCUUUCUUAGAUUUCCUUCUCAUUCAUUCCUUUCCCUUCCAUUAUCUCCUUCCUCUCUUCCUUUACUCUUAUUUUUACAUCCUCCUCCCUUUCCUUCACCUUUUCCUUCUUUCCUAAGCCUCCCUUUCGCCCAUCCCUUUCCUCUUCUAUUCUUUAUUUACUCUUCCUUUUGGUCUAUUUACUUUUGUUUCUAUUUAUCCUUCCUUCUUCCCCUCCCUUAAACGCUCAUCGUUCCUUCCUUUCCUCCUCCUCCCUUCUUCCCUUUCCUUUCCCUUACCCUUCUACUUCUCCCUUUCAUUAACAUUAUUUCCUUUUCCUAUCUUUGCCCUCUUUGUCACUUCCUCCCCUUCCUUUCUUUAUCAUAAUCAUCCUUUACAUUUCCUUCCUUCUUCUACACCUUCCUUCUUCUCUACUUCUCCCCCACCUGCCUCCCCCCUUUACCUAACCAAA